UUUUUAUUGGACGAUGACUGACACAUAUUAAGUUUUGAUUAGAUGUCAACCCCAUAAAAGAUGAAAUAGUGACACAUGACAACAUUAUUCAAUAAGAAAGUGACACGCAACCGUCAACGUCG
rfam:Glycine soja cultivar W05 scaffold8335_3, whole genome shotgun sequence.